CCACCGGGUUUUCGGGCUAGCCCUAUCGGGUUUCGGGUUAGUCGGGUGCGGGCUAAUCGGGUUAGAGAUUUUUUCGGGUUGUAAAUCUUCAACCCUAACCCUAAACUUUCGGGUUUCGGGCUAGCCCAUCGGGCUAAUCAGGUUAAAGGCGUAAAAAUAAAAUUAUCAUUUGUAUUUUAUUAUUCCUAAUGAUCUAAUGUAUAAUGUAU
rnacentral:lncRNA from 1 species